AUUGCAGACCUAUGAUGAUACUUGUCUAGGAAGUGCCGUCUUAGAAACAAUGAUUAUAACAUUGGACGCUGAGGUCA
rnacentral:snoRNA from 1 species